AAGCAUUACCCAUGAUCCAUCUGCAAUGUACUCCAGCAUAUAUUGAAGCCCCACGAAAUAAGGAAAAGGCUACGUAGAACUUCCAUUGUUCGAUAGGCCAAGGUCUUCCAGCCGCUGAGCAGUAAUCUGCGAGAUAAUUGGAAAGAGAAGGCACUCCAUCAGGGAAGCUGGUGAGUUCAAAACCAUUAUUUUCUUCUAUACUUUCUGAUGCAAUAUUCACAAUAAAUCCCAAGCAACUGUAGGCAACAUCACACAUUUGAUUACCCAAAGUGGAAAGCUCCCAAUCAAGAAUACCUAUCACUCUAUCCUCAAUAGGAUGAAACACAACAUUAUCAAUCCGAAAGUCACCAUGGACUAGACCUGCUGUUGCUCCAGAGGAAUCUUCAAGGGGAAUAUGUU
rnacentral:misc_RNA from 1 species